rnacentral:rRNA from 1 species
GACGAACGCUGGCGGCGUGCUUAACACAUGCAAGUCGAACGGAAAGGCCCUGCUUUUGUGGGGUUCUCGAGUGGCGAACGGGUGAGUAACACGUGAGUAACCUGCCCUUGACUUUGGGAUAACUUCAGGAAACUGGGGCUAAUACCGCAUAGGAGCUCCUGCUGCAUGGUGGGGGUUGGAAAGUUUCGGCGGUUGGGGAUGGACUCGCGGCUUAUCAGCUUGUUGGUGGGGUAGUGGCUUACCAAGGCUUUGACGGGUAGCCGGCCUGAGAGGGUGACCGGGCACAUUGGGACUGAGAUACGGACCAGACUCCUACGGGAGGCAGCAGUGGGGAAUAUUGCACAAUGGGCGGAAGCCUGAGGCAGCAACGCCGCGUGCGGGAUGACGGCCUUCGGGUUGUAAACCGCUGUCGCCUGUGACGAAGCGUGAGUGACGGUAAUGGGUAAAGAAGCACCGGCUAACUACGUG